rnacentral:misc_RNA from 1 species
UUUGAUCCCUCUGGAACAUGGGCCU